AUUGAACGCUGGCGGCAUGCCUAACACAUGCAAGUCGAACGAGUGGCGGACGGGUGAGUAAGGUCUGGGAAACUGCCUGAUGGAGGGGUACAACUCCGUGAAACGGUUGCUAAAUCCGCAAACCACUAGUUGUGCCCAGGUGGGAGUAGCUUGCUGGUGGGGUAAAGGCUCACCAAGGCGACGAUCCCUAGCUGGGCUGAGAGGAUGACCAGCCACACUGGGACUGAGACACGGUCCAGACUCCUACGGGAGGCAGCAGUGGGGAAUCUUUGGCAAUGGGCGAAAGCCUGAUCGAGCCAUGCCGCGUGAGUGAAGAAGGCCUUCGGGUUGUAAAGUACUUUCGUCAGGGAAGCGUUACCUACCGAGGAAGCACCGGCUAACUCCGUGCCAGCAGCCGCGGUAAUUC
rnacentral:rRNA from 1 species